rnacentral:rRNA from 1 species
AUUCGAAACUGGCAGGCUAGAGUCUUGUAGAGGGGGGUAGAAUUCCAGGUGUAGCGGUGAAAUGCGUAGAGAUCUGGAGGAAUACCGGUGGCGAAGGCGGCCCCCUGGGCAAAGACUGACGCUCAGGUGCGAAAGCGUGGGGAGCAAACAGGAUUAGAUACCCUGGUAGUCCACGCCGUAAACGAUGUCGACUUGGAGGUUGUGCCCUUGAGGCGUGGCUUCCGGAGCUAACGCGUUAAGUCGACCGCCUGGGGAGUACGGCCGCAAGGUUAAAACUCAAAUGAAUUGACGGGGGCCCGCACAAGCGGUGGAGCAUGUGGUUUAAUUCGAUGCAACGCGAAGAACCUUACCUACUCUUGACAUCCAGAGAACUUUCCAGAGAUGGAUUGGUGCCUUCGGGAACUCUGAGACAGGUGCUGCAUGGCUGUCGUCAGCUCGUGUUGUGAAAUGUUGGGUUAAGUCCCGCAACGAGCGCAACCCUUAUCCUUUGUUGCCAGCGGUCCGGCCGGGAACUCAAAGGAGACUGCCAGUGAUAAACUGGAGGAAGGUGGGGAUGACGCCAAGUCAUCACGGCCCUUACGAGUAGGGCUACACACGUGCUACAAUGGCGCAUACAAAGAGAAGCGACCUCGCGAGAGCAAGCGGACCUCAUAAAGUGCGUCGUAGUCCGGAUUGGAGUCUGCAACUCGACUCCAUGAAGUCGGAAUCGCUAGUAAUCGUAGAUCAGAAUGCUACGGUGAAUACGUUCCCGGGCCUUGCACACAC